GUUUUUGUUUUAUUUUGUCUUGUUUUUAUAGGAAGGAGCCACAAAGCCAGAGAUUGUAGACAAAGAAAGUAAUACGGAUAUUAUUGAAAGGGCUCCCCAAGAGCAAAUAAAUCAUGACCGUUUUAGUUCUGUUGAUGGAACACACAGGAAUAAUAGAAGUGAUAUGACGUCAGCCUUAGGAUUGGGAAUAGAGGAAGAUAUAGAAUCACCUUGGGAUUCUGAGAUUCUCCUGAGAAAUAUCCUAACGUGAAGGUAAAAUCAUUUAUGUUUUUAUCUUGAAUUAUGAACUGUGGAUUGUAUCAAAGGUACAUUAUUUAUUAACCAACUUGUUUCCAAACCCAUUCAGCCUGCAGUCUUAGUGAGAGAGCCUAUUCCUAAUAAAACAGUCGGAGUGAAGGAUCUACAAACAUUCACUUCAGAUUUGUCGGCAGAACUAGAUUUAGAAAUGACAUCAGAGGAAGAAGAAGAAAAACCUGUUGGAGAUGAAAAUAACCAUUCCCAGGUAUGUAAAAAUGCAAAUUUAGAUCUCGCUUAAUACAGUUUCCUGUGCUUCAACAGCAUGAUACAGUGUGUAACAAAGGUCAUGACAAAUAAAAUUA
rnacentral:lncRNA from 1 species